rnacentral:tRNA from 1 species
GGAGGUAUAGCUCAGUGGUGAGAGCGCGUGCUUAGCAUGCACGAGGUCCUGGGUUCAAUCCCCAGUCCCCCUA